GCACAGUGCUAUAGUAGGCCUGCUGCAUCUCUGGAGCUUCUGAAACCUUUCUAAUGAUGGGUAGACUUUUGCUAUCAAGGUGUCUAUUUCUGCUCCCAGGUGGUUAUUCUGUUGGAUAGGACCAGAGAACUUUUCUUGGCACUGAUGAUGAAGCCAUGCACCUGGAGGAGAUUCAACAUCCAAGAUGUGAUCCUCUGAACUGCUGGAGUUCUGAUUGGGAUGUUGUCAAGAUUAGGGUACAGGUGAACCUCAGAAGUCUGCGGAGGCACGAUCAGAUGGGGAUAUGCGUCUGCAAGAGGUACUGAAGUCAAGAAGUCCCUCUGGACAGGGAAGACACCGUACAGGCCAGGGUCUCCAUCAGAAACAUUGUUUUCUUCAUCCACUUGUUCAGCCUUUUGAGGUUGAGAACGGCGCUGAUACCCACCAUGUGCUUCUCCACAAUGAAGAUGACGGAGUGCAACCCGGCAAACCUUUUUCUGAGGGAACACAGUCUCUGUCAUGCCAAUAUCCAGAAGAUGA